AGGGUUUGAUCCUGGCUCAGAGUGAACGUUGGCGGCGUGGAUUAGGCAUGCAAGUCGAACGCGAAAACUGACUUCGGUUAGUUAGUAGCGUGGCGAACGGGUGAGUAAUAGUUGGAGAACUUACCCUUGGGCGGGGGAUAACCCAGGGGAAACCUGGAACAAUACCGCAUUACACAAUCUAACGCAUGUUAGGUUGUCAAAGAUGUCACCUUUUGGUGAUGUCGCCCGAGGAUGGUUCCAACUCCUAUCAGCUUGUUGGUGAGGUAAUGGCUCACCAAGGCCGUGACGGGUAGGGGGACUGAGAGGUUGGCCCCCCACACCGGGACUGAGACACUGCCCGGACACCUACGGGUGGCUGCAGUCGAGAAUCUUCGGCAAUGCGCGAAAGCGUGACCGAGCGACGCCGCGUGCGGGAUGAAGGGUUUCGGCUCGUAAACCGCUGUUGGGAGGUAGCAAUAAGCGUGGUAACCCCACGUGAUGAGUUAAACUCCUGAGGAAGUCACAGCUAAUCACGUGCCAGCAGCUGCGGUAAUACGUGAGUGGCAAACGUUACUCGGAAUCACUGGGCUUAAAGGGGGCGUAGGCGGGCAGGAAAGUGGAGAUUGAAAUCCCACGGCUCAACCGUGGAAUUGGUUUCCAAACUAUCUGUCUUGAGGACGGCAGGGGGGUGUAGAACUUCUGGUGGAGCGGUGAAAUGCGUAGAUAUCAGAAGGAAUACCGGUGGCGAAGGCGAUGCCCUGGGCCGUUCCUGACGCUGAGGCCCGAAAGCGUGGGGAGCAAACAGGAUUAGAUACCCUGGUAGUCCACGCUGUAAACGCUGGGUACUAGCAGGAGUGGUUUCUUCGGCCUCUCUUGCGUAGAGAAAUCGUUAAGUACCCCGCCUGGGGAGUACGGUCGCAAGAUUAAAACUCAAAGGAAUUGACGGGGGCUCACACAAGCGGUGGAGCAUGUGGUUUAAUUCGAAACAACGCGAAGAACCUUACCCAGCCUUGACAUCGCUGGAUGCCGCUUCUGAAAGGAAGUUGUGCUGCCUUUGGUGAAACAGUGACAGGUGUUGCAUGGCUGUCGUCAGCUCGUGUCGUGAGAUGUCGGGUUAAUUCCCUUAACGAGCGAAACCCCUGCCGUUAGUUGCUAACGGGCCUUCGGGCGCCGAGGACUCUAGCGGGACUGCCGCGUAAGUUGCGAGGAAGGUGGGGACGACGUCAAGUCAUCAUGGCCCUUAUGGCUGGGGCUACACACGUGCUACAAUGGGCGGUACAAAGCGAAGCAAACCCGCGAGGGAGAGCAAAUCGCAAAAAGCCGUCCUCAGUUCGGAUUGCAGGCUGCAAUUCGCCUGCAUGAAGGCGGAAUCGCUAGUAAUCGCGGAUCAGCUAUGCCGCGGUGAAUAUGUUCCUGAGCCUUGUACACACCGCCCGUCAAGCCAUGAAAGCCGGGGGCACCCGAAGUCGUGAGUCUAACCUUUCGAGGAGGGCCACGCCGACGGUGAAACUGGUGAUUGGGACUAAGUCGAAACAAGGUA
rnacentral:rRNA from 1 species